CAGCCAGGAAGGAGGAGGUAGCCAGAGUGGCCAGCACUGCUCUCUGCAGCAGAAGACUCCUUGCUGCCUUGCUUAACCCAGACCAGCAUUUGCCAGGAGCUGCUUAUUCUUCUGGUACCAAGGAUGGCUCAUCAUUUUCAUCUGCGAGGUCAUCUGCGAUGGCUCAUCAUUUUCAUCUGCGUUUGACAGGUCAAAACUGGAGACAAGAUCAAAUUCCUCCUCAGUUCCUCUCUUGAGCUCAGACUCAGACUCCCUUCCUUCCUGUAUUAUAGUAUGCAUGCUGGGAAGUCAUGCAUACUUUGAAUGUGUGUACUUAAGUUUGGGGACCAGGGAUAGAUUAGGACUUCUGUAGGUGUACCAAUCACCCCGCUGUCCAACUGAGUCCCUUACUGAGCUCAUGGACUUGGUCAGAGGACUUGCGUUGGAGUCUCACAGACUUUUGGUGCUGGGGGACUUCAAUGUUUGUUUCAGGACCAAUUUGUCCAGGGCAGCUCAGGAGUUCAUAGCAGCCAUGACAACUAUGGGCCUAUCCCAAGUGGUCUCUGGACUGACGCAUAUUGCAGGUCACAUGCUUGAUUUGGUAUUUUACUCUGAUCAGGGUGUGUUCCGUGGGUGGGGAUUCCUGUGAUUCCCCCAUUGUCAUGGACGGACCACCAUCUGGUUAAGGUUGGACUUACAACCACUUCCCACCUCCGCAGGGGCGUGGGGCCCAUUAGAAUGCUCUGCCCGAAGAGGUUAUUGGAUCCAGUAGGGUUCCAAGAAGCCUUGGAGGGAUUUAAUAUUGGCUUUGCUGGUGACCCUGUUGAUGCCCUGGUUGAGAAUUGGAACUUGCUCACCAGGGCAGUAGACAUGAUUGCUCCCAAGUGUCCCCUCUGACCCACUUCAAAAUUGGACCCUUGGUAUACAGAAGAUCUAUGGGGGCUAAAAUGGCAAGGUAGGCAACUGGAGCGCAAGUGGAGGAAGACUCGACUCAAAUCUGACAGACUGCGACAUAGAGCACAUCUAAAGAUCUAUGCUCAGGCAAUACGUGCCCAUAUUGCCUCUGCAAAUUCACGUCCAGCAGAUUUGUUCAGGGUUGUGAGGAGAUUAGUAUCUGCCCCCUCCCUUGAACCACAAUGUGGAGUCAUCAGUUACCCACUGUGAUGUGUUUAAAGAAUUUUUCGCAGAUAAAAUCUCUCGGAUUCGGGCCGACCUAGAUGGAGACUCUACAAUUAAUUUGAUGUCUGAGCUGGAGGUGCCCAAUGACUCCUCUUAUGUGAUUCAACUGGAUUGGUUUCAGUUUGUGACUCCUGAGGAUUGUGGACAAGCUGCUUGGAUUGUACCACUUGUUCUCUUGACCCUUGUCCAACAUGGCUUGUUCGAUCUAGCAGGGAGGUUGUUGUAAACAGCCUGGUGGAUAUCAUAAAUGCUUCUCUGAGGGAGGGCAGGAUGCCUCCUUGUCUUAAGGAGGCAAUCAUUAGACCUCUUCUAAAGAAGCCUGCAUUAGAUCGUCAGGGGAUUUGGAGCUGCGUGUUAAAAGUAUGCUGAUGACGCCCAGAUCUACUUCUCCAUGUCAACUUCUUCAGGAGCUGGCAUAUCCUCCCUAAAUGCCUGACUGGAAGCAGUAAUGGGCUGGAUGAGGGAGAACAAACUGAAGCUGAAUCCAAGUAAGACAGAGGUACUUAUUGUGCAGGGUCAGAACUCCAGAGAUGAUUUUGAUCUGCCUGUUCUAGAUGGGGUCACACUUCCCCAAAAGGAACAGGUCCACAGUCUGGGAGUACUACUGGAUCCACACCUCUCCCUGGUUUCUCAGGUUGAGGUGCUUUCUAUCAGCUCCGGCUAAUACGCCAGCUGCAUCCGUUUCUCGAGAUCAGUGACCUCAAAACAAUGGUAUAUUUGUUGGUAACCUCCAGACUUGACUUCUGUAAUGCGCUCUAUGUGGGGCUGCCUUUGUACGUAGUCUGGAAAUUUCAGUUGGUUCAGAAUGCGGCAGCCAGGUUGGUCUCUGGGUCAUCUCGGAGAGACCACAUUACUCCUUUGCUGAUGGAGUUACACUGGCUGUUGAUAGGUUUCUGGGCAAAAUACAAAGUGCUAGUUAUAACUUAUAAAGCCCUAAACGGCUUAGGUCCUGGGUAUUUAAGAGAGCGUCUUCUUCACUAUGAACCCCACCACCCAUUGAGGUCAUCUGAGGAGGUUCAUCUCCAGUUACCGCCAACUCAUUUGGUGGUCACACAGAGACGAGCCUUCUCGGUUGCUGCCCCGAGAUUGUGGAAUGUGCUCCCUGCUGAGUUACGAUCCUCCCCAUCUCUGGCUAUUUUUAAAAAACAUUUUAAAACCCAUUUUUUUACCCAAGCCCUCUCAGGUUUUUAAUUAAAAAGUACUGUUAAUUUUAUGGUUUUUAAAUUACUGUAUUGUUUUAACUUUUAUAUGUGUUAUAUGUUUAACUGUUUUAACUUUUAUAUGUGUUUUAAUUGUUAGCCAUCCAGAAACGUAAGUUUAGGCGGGGUAUAAAUUUAAUAAAUAAAAAUAAAAACAAUAAAAAUAAUAUAAGUCACGAACUGUUCUAUUUUUUCCAACAGGACAGAAUCUCCUUGGAUUUUGAUUAUUUAUUUUGGGCCAGAAUAUCAUCCCUUCCUCACCUUAUAAAGGCAGCCAUUCUUGAACAAAGUCUCUCACUUGAAAUGUUCUCUGUUUCACAUCCCAUUUCUGAUCUGCAUACAGUUUAUAUUUUUAUUGCUUCGCCCUUACCCAAUAAUGAAUCUCUGCAUCCUCAGGAUGAGAUGGCAUAGAAAGCCCUAUCAGUUGUUGCCAUUGGGUAAAUUUGAUGGUAGCUUUGUGUCCUCUCAGUAGUUCAAAAAGUGAUUUUCCUGUAGUAGAAUGAGGAGUAGUGUGAUAAGCAAAUUGAGUUACUACUACUACUAUAAAUAUUUAUAUACUGCUCUUCAACCAAAGUGGUUUACAUAGAAAAAUAAAUAAUACAUAAAUAAGAUGGUCUCCUGUCCCCCAAGGGGCUCUCAAUCUAAAAAGAAACAUAAGGCAGUUAACUGUGGUAGAGAACCCUGUGCUAGAGAAGUGUGAGUGACAGGAGACCAUUUCAAAAACAUCAAGGCUUUGUCACUAAAUUUAAAAUCAAUUAAAUUUGGGUUGUUAUACAUUUUGAUUGUUAUAAAGGGAAGGAAUGUGUUGAAUUAUAUCCAGUAAUCUUUUGUAUUUGAUUGCUUGGAUGUUUGUCCCAGUUGGGAUCCUGUGGAGAUGCUAGGUGGGACUUUUUCUGGUCCAGCAAGACUUUUCUCACAUUCUUGACUUAAUUCCAACCUGAUUAGAAGUGUUUUGUGUGUGGAGAGUUGUCUUUCCAAGAUGAUUUUUUAUCUAUAGUACUGUGCUCUAGGAGAGGCACAUGCCCUGAAAUUCUUUCUUUUGUAUUGCUCUGUUGUUCUCUGGAUGGCCAAUAAGGAUCAGAACUGGCCCUCAGACUGGCAGCUGUCUAUCCCUGGUGAGAACUGCUGGUAAAAUAAAAGUCAAAUUCAUAGGACAAGACUGCAUAGUUAACUUUACUGAGAUGGGAUAAUGUCUGAGAAGGUUGCUGUUGUUUUUUCAAGGAAAAGAUUAUUAAAUUCUUCAAGGUAACAUUUUGAAAGAAGAGAAACAAAAGUAAAAGGAAAUAAAAAUCCCAGCAACUGAA